rnacentral:lncRNA from 1 species
AUGCAAAAAGCUCCUAUCACUCUGCUGCUGUGUGAACUACCCAGUGUGAGUACCCAGAAGCAUCGCUGCACAUUUAGUGUAAAGAGCAAUCAAUCAGUUUGGAGACGCAAGCCAGAGGAAACAAUUCAGCAAAAAAGACCUACAGCAGAUAUGUCACUUAACUCCACCUCCAACAAUUUUCUGGACUAUUUCUGUUCCACAAAUGCAAAUUCAUCCCAAAUGGUUCCCUUCUAUACAGUGAGAAUCAUCCUCCUCCUCACUCUCUCUGUCCUCAUCUUUUAUAUUGGUCACCAAAGAUGGCAGCAGCAGCGCUCCUUUAAAACAGCAAGCCACUCUGACAUCUUCACCUACCACAUGGCUGCUAUGGAGCUGAUCUGGGUCUUAGCAUGUUUGGUCAUGUUUUGUGGUGCAUACACUAAUCAUUUAGUAAGUGAGACUGUAGGAUCAUAUGCCUGUAGCAUUGCUUAUUAUGGAGAAAUACUUUUCCACCUCCUGACCUGUGUAGAGCGUUAUAUGGCUGUUGUUCACCCCAUCACCUACAUGGGUCUAAGAAAUGCCCGUGGGGUCAGGAUCAGAAACAUCAGCAUUGGCUGUGUUUGGCUGCUGAGCUUUGGACUGUCGGGUGUUAAAGUUUUAUUACCCUCUAACUACAAAAGUGCCCCAUUGUUCUGCAUUUUGGCUCUCUCCAUAAUAAUCAUAACUUUGUGCAGCCUCUCUGUUCUGUGUGUGUUGAUUCGCCCAGGGCCAGGGGAAGGAGGUGGGGAAAAGGAGAUGGUUGACCAAUCAAAGCUGAAAGCUUUCUACACCAUCAUGGCUAUAACCUGUGCUGUGUGGCUAUGGGUUGUUGGGGUGCUUUUAUUUAAUGCUCUCAACAUCUCACGUCUAGUGAGCAGCACUGCUCUGUGCUCAGCAUUGAUGUACAUGAUCUGGUUUAACUUUCCAAAUUGUUUGGUGUUACCUCUGCUGUUUCUGCAUAGAGCAGGAACACUCUCAUGUUCCUGUUGUAUCAACAAAUGAAUACAAGAAUUGAAUUUGAGUACAACAGAGAUGUAACAGAUGUAAAUGAUUUAUAUAAUAUGCUAAAAUAUUUGGAAAUGUUUCAGUUUUAUUACUACCAUAAGACAGGGCUAAGUCAAGACUCGAACCACACUUAAGAUCCAGAAGUAGACGAUAAGUCUAAACUGGUGGUUUCCUUUUGUAAACUUAUCUGACAAAACAUUGUUGCUGAACAGUCACAGGAUUUAAUUAAACCCUAUGACUUGUUCCUUUGUUUUGUUAUUGAGUUAUUCAACGUCAGAGUUUAUAGAAGUUUUACAAAUUGUAUACAGAGUAUCACCAUUGAUUUUGGAAAUAAAGGAGGCUGUUUGGCUUUAUUUAGAGACAUCAUAGUCUUAAAAUAAAGCCUACAGCUGAUGCUGUCCUAUUAACAGAAAAAUGAAAAACACCAAAUGGAUCAUACAUGAUCAUAAAAUUUGUAUGUUUCCUUUUCUAAAAGACACACAGAACACAAAAAGCUGUUCUGCAUUUGUCCACACUAAUUACGUUUGAUGUAGCAGUGCUACUUUCAAUGUUUUUUUUUAAUCCAACAUCUGAGAGUUAUGGACGACUGAAAAGUGCAGCAGAGUAACCUCCAUGUGAAACAGAGUCUUGGAGAAGACAAACCUAAAUUUUGAAGCUCCAUUUCAUCAGCUGCUCACAAAAGAAAGAGAUUAUAAGAUACAUGUUGGGUCCAUCACUUGUUAUUUUACUAGAUGUGAAAUCAUAGACAUCCUCAGCUCUUAUAGUUAUCUCAACCUUUGACAAAGGUUGUGGAUUGAAGUGAAAUGUUA